ACACGUAGGGGCCUGACGUUGUUCGGAAUCAUUGGGCGUAAAGGGCGCGCAGGCGGCCGUCCAAGUCCGGUGUUAAAUGGUCGGGCUCAACCCGAUCAUGCGCUGGAAACUGGGCGGCUUGAGUCCCGUAGGGGAUGCCGGAAUUCCAGGUGUAGGGGUGAAAUCUGUAGAUAUCUGGAAGAACACCGAUGGCGAAGGCAGGCAUCUGGCCGGAGACUGACGCUGAGGCGCGAAGGCGCGGGGAGCGAACAGGUUUAGAUACCCUGGUAGUCCGCGCAGUAAACGAUGCGCACCAGGUGUCGGGCGGCAGCGCCCGGUACCGGAGCUAACGCGAUGAGUGCGCCGCCUGGGGAGUAUGCUCGCAAGGGUGAAACUCAAAGGAAUUGACGGGG
rnacentral:rRNA from 1 species